UAGUUGUGGUACAGAACUUCGAAAUAGA
rnacentral:piRNA from 1 species